AGUGAACGCUGGCGGUAGGCCUAACACAUGCAAGUCGAACGGCAGCACAGAGGAGCUUGCUCCUUGGGUGGCGAGUGGCGGACGGGUGAGGAAUACAUCGGAAUCUACUCUGACGGGGGGGAUAACGUAGGGAAACUUACGCUAAUACCGCAUACGACCUACGGGUGAAAGCAGGGGACCUUCGGGCCUUGCGCGAUUGAAUGAGCCGAUGUCGGAUUAGCUAGUUGGCGGGGUAAAGGCCCACCAAGGCGACGAUCCGUAGCUGGGCUGAGGGGAUGAGCAGCCACACUGGAACUGAGACACGGUCCAGACUCCUACGGGAGGCAGCAGUGGGGAAUAUUGGACAAUGGGCGCAAGCCUGAUCCAGCCAUACCGCGUGGGUGAAGAAGGCCUUCGGGUUGUAAAGCCCUUUUGUUGGGAAAGAAAUCCAGCUGGCUAAUACCCGGUUGGGAUGACGGUACCCAAAGAAUAAGCACCGGCUAACUUCGUGCCAGCCGCCGCAGUAA
rnacentral:rRNA from 1 species